rnacentral:rRNA from 1 species
GACGAACCGUGCGAACGUUGUUCGGAAUCACUGGGCUUAAAGGGCGCGUAGGCGGGCUGUCAAGUCUGGGGUGAAAUGCCGCGGCUCAACCGUGGAACUGCCUCAGAUACUGACGGCCUCGAGGGAGGUAGGGGCGUGCGGAACUGUAGGUGGAGCGGUGAAAUGCGUUGAUAUCUACAGGAACUCCGGUGGCGAAAGCGGCGCGCUGGACCUCUUCUGACGCUGAGGCGCGAAAGCCAGGGGAGCAAACGGG